UACGGAGGGUGCAAGCGUUAUCCGGAUUCACUGGGUUUAAAGGGUGCGUAGGCGGGUAGAUAAGUCAGUGGUGAAAUCUCCGAGCUUAACUCGGAAACUGCCAUUGAUACUAUUUAUCUUGAAUAUUGUGGAGGUAAGCGGAAUAUGUCAUGUAGCGGUGAAAUGCUUAGAUAGGACAUAGAACACCAAUUGCGAAGGCAGCUUACUACGCAGUUAUUGACGCUGAGGCACGAAAGCGUGGGGAUCAAACAGG
rnacentral:rRNA from 1 species